AGGCAAUACAUUUUCCUCACUGGGAGCAGGAUUAACUGUCCAGUUCUGUUCAGUGUCAGUCCCACUGAUUAUAUUCCUCCGAAUGUAGUCUGCAGCUUUGUGUGUGUGUGUGUGUUAGAUUUCAAUAUGAACAUCAUCUUUAAAAGAAAUAUUACUUGAAAUGUCUUGAAAUACAUAGAAGGCAGGUUUAUUUUGAAUGAGCUAAAUUUAAUCAAAAGCAAAAGUUUUUCAAAAGAGAGCGGUAUUCAGAACCAGGGUCGCUACACUUGGCACGCUGAUUAUUGGUGGAGGUUGAGCAGAGCAGAGAAACUGGCAGGAGCAGGAAGGGGGUGAGAGGUUGCACAAAUCUCCAACAGGAUACUUUGCUUUGAUGAAAAUCUGGGCGAAGCACUCCUUUGAAGCCCAGCAACACUGCUCCUGCUUCUAAACAGCACAGCAGAGCUGAGCAGCUACUUCGUUGGAGAUAGUGGGUUGAAGCAUACGCGUGCAUAUACAGAAGCAUAUUUCUGGCUAAGGGAAGCACAAGAAGAGGUCCUUUGCAUUGCACAAAAGGCCUCAAUGAAGUGAUAGGUGUCACGCAGGACCUUCAUAAGGUGGAGGAUCCAACACGCUCAGAGGAACCAAGAAUCUGGCAGAGAGCAAAAUGGCUUAGAAUGCAAAUACUGAGAGGUAAUGCUGCAAUUGGCAUGCCAGUCAAAGGUGGUCAAAGGCCCUCUCUACUUGUCUGUCCAGGAGUAUCUGUAAGUCCAGGAGGACACCCAAGUGAUGGACCUGCUUCUUCAGCAGCAGUACAACCGCAUCAAGAGACACAACUGAAGAUAUCAGGGAUCCAUGAUGAACAAACAAUAACUCCAACUUCUCAGGAUUCACCCUCAGCAUGUUUCAUCCCAACCAGAUCCCCACAUUUUCAGGCACUGGGUCAAGAUGUUGACAGUAUCACCUGUGUGAUCCAGAGUGGUGAUGUACAAUUAGGUAUCAUCACUAUAUUGAUCUCUCCCAGCAGUUUCAGGCAAAUGUCAGAGUAUUGAAAGGUUGAACAUCACUUGCAAUCACCAUUUAACAAAAAUAAAAGUUAAAAUGUU